UACGUAGGGUGCAAGCGUUGUCCGGAAUUAUUGGGCGUAAAGAGCUCGUAGGCGGUCUGUCGCGUCUGCUGUGAAAACUCGGGGCUUAACCCCGGGCCUGCAGUGGGGUACGGGCAGACUAGAGUGCGGUAGGGGAGACUGGAAUUUACGGUGUAGCGGUGAAAUGCGUAGAUAUCGUAAGGAAGACCAGUGGCGAAGGCGGGUCUCUGGACAGUUCCUGACGCUGAGGCACGAAGGCCAGGGGAGCAAACGGG
rnacentral:rRNA from 1 species